rnacentral:sRNA from 1 species
UGGUUUUAUAUUAAAAAUAUUUUCAAAAAUUUGGUCGAAAGAAAUUUAUGAACUCCAGCAGAAAAGUUGUGGCAUGAAGGCAAUAACUUUCAUUGUUCACUUUGUCUUUAAUCUCAAUUAACGCCCAAUUGAUGCGAUAGGCUAUAGCAGCCAGUGUUAAAAUGAAGCACCAAUUAAGUUUUAUUUGAUUUUGAAUUUCACCUCAAACCAUAUCCUGUAAAUCUUCAUAAACUAAGCAAGCAAUAAAUUUCGUCCUUUAUGUAGGUCUUUUUAAAGGAUGAAUGAAACAAGCUGAGAUAAAUGGAAAUGAGGAAUAAGUGAAACCAGAAAUUUUAACCCGGCAUUGGCAGAAGGAAUUUGAUGUACCUUUGUCCGAUAUGGCCCAUAUGCAAUCCCAACCGACUUAUACUAAUAGGAAGUAUUUGUGCAAAAUUUUAAGUGCAUAGACAUAUUAAAGUUAGCAUGAUUUCCACAAACAGACAGACGAACGGACAUGGCAAUUUUGACUUAAAAUGUCAUGGCGAU